rnacentral:misc_RNA from 1 species
GAUGAAGAACGCAGCGAAAUGCGAUAAGUAAUGUGAAUUGCAGAAUUCAGAGAAUCAUCGAAUCUUUGAACGCACCUUGCGCCCCUUGGCUAUUCUGAAGGGCAUGCCUGUUUGAGUAUCGUGAACACCUCAACUCUCAUGGUCUGCCAUGAUGAGCUUGGACUUUGGGGGUCUUGCUGGCCUACUGUCAGCUCCUCUCAAAUGAAUCAGCUUACCAGUGUUUGGUGGCACCACAGGUGUGAUAACUAUCUACGCUUGUGGUUUUCUGCCAGGUAACCUCCAGUGAUGGAGGUUCGCUGGAGCUCACAAAUGUCUCUCCUCAGCGAGGACAGCUUUUUGAACGUUUGAUCUCAAAUCAGGUAGGACUACCCGCUGAACUUAAGCAUAUCAAUAAGCGGAGGA